rnacentral:rRNA from 1 species
AUGCCAUGGAAUGCAUUGUUCCGGAGGUUGAUCACCUGGAGAUUGGUUGUGUUUGCUAGUGAAGUGGGGAUUUGGCCUUGGAACUGGUUUCCUUGCAUAAUCAAAGUUUGGAUGCUUGGAAGGGUGUAUCCGAUGUUGUGUGGAAGCUCCCCUACAAGAUUGUUUGUAGCCAUGCCAAGGUUUCGAAUUUCAUCUAUACUCAUGGGGAUGUUACCUUGGAAAUUAUUAUCUCCAAGCAAGAGCCAGCGAAGGGAGGAAAAGUUCCCUAUAAAGGAAGGUAUGGUGCCAGAAAGAUUAUUUGAUUGCAAGAUAAGAUACUGCAAGGUGCAGGAGGAAUCUCUCCACUCAGGUGAUUGUUUGAUAAGGCCAAAAGUUGAAGUGAGGAACUAUUAG